rnacentral:rRNA from 1 species
AGAGUUUGAUCCUGGCUCAAGAUGAACGCUAGCGGCAGGCUUAACACAUGCAAGUCGAGGGGCAGCGCGGGAUAGCAAUAUCCUGGCGGCGACCGGCGGAAGGGUGCGUAACGCGUGAGCGACAUGCCCGUUGCCCGGGGACAACCGGUGGAAACGCCGACUAAUCCCCGAUGGGAUACGAUGCUUCAUGGCAUUGUAUUGAAAGUUACGGCGGCGACGGGUUGGCUCGCGUCCGAUUAGCUUGUUGGCGGGGUAACGGCCCACCAAGGCUACGAUCGGUAGGGGUUCUGAGAGGAAGGCCCCCCACAAUGGGACUGAGACACGGCCCAUACUCCUACGGGAGGCAGCAGUGAGGAAUAUUGGUCAAUGGGCGGAAGCCUGAACCAGCCAUGCCGCGUGCGGGAAGGAGGCCCUAUGGGCUGUGAACCGCUUUUGCCUGGGGGCAAUAAGGGCGUCGCGCACGUCCGAUGAGAGUACCAGGCGAAUAAGCAUCGGCUAACUCCGUGCCAGCAGCCGCGGUAAUACGGGGGAUGCGAGCGUUAUCCGGAUUCAUUGGGUUUAAAGGGUGCGUAGGCUGUGCGUCAAGUCGGGGGUGAAAUUCCGGUGCUCAACACCGGGGCUGCCCUUGAUACUGUCGCGCUGGAGUGCGGAUGCCGCCGGAGGAAUGAGUGGUGUAGCGGUGAAAUGCUUAGAUAUCACUCAGAACACCGAUUGCGAAGGCAUCUGGCGAAUCCGUAACUGACGCUGAGGCACGAAAGCGUGGGGACAGAAAAGGAUUAGAUCCCCUGGUAUUCCACGCCGUA